rnacentral:lncRNA from 1 species
GACUACGUUCUCAUUUCCUGAAGAAAACAAUGAAAGAAAGGGUGAGCUCAACUAGCCCAGUAAGAAAUAUUAUGACUAAGAUAAUGCAGAAUAAAUUAUCAUUAGUCUUUAACAGUGUUAAACUAAUAAAAUACAAUAGACAUAAAGUUUAACUGCAGUGGAACAAGCAAUCUAUUAAAAGAGUCAAGUAGAGAAUAAAAUCUACUAUCUUUUAUGAUUUAAAAGGUUUUUCAUCACUUUUAUUGCUGGGACUCAGCUUAACACACCGUUUGCAAUCCAUUCUGGGAGUACUAAAAUGUAUCAUGAUCUUCGACAUACAUUUUGGUGGGACAAUAUGAAGAGAGAUAUCGCUGUUUAUCUCAAGGUGUCUAACGUGUCAACGAGUCAAGG